rnacentral:rRNA from 1 species
AAUUGGUGGAAUACCCGGCAAUCCGAAACUCUCUUAACAGAUAUUCAAGAGAAAAGGAUUCUAGAAAGAUUCAUAUAAUUAGAAGAACUUUCUCUCCUGGACGAGAUGAUAAAAGGGAAAGUAAAGACACAUGUACAAAAACCUCCUACAGGAAUACACAAGGAAAUAAUACAAUGGGUCAAAAUAAAUAAUGAGGAUCAUCUCCAUACCAUUUUGCGUUUCUCGUCAAAUAUAAUCUGUUUGGCUAUUCUAAGU